rnacentral:lncRNA from 1 species
CCCAUCUCUCAUCUCUCUUGACUCACCUUCAGAGAUGACCCUUUAGAACCCUAACACCGCCACCAUUCCCUACAGCUUUAGGGUGGUGGUACCACCGUCAAUAAGCCCCAAUUCGGUAUCCUAAAAUUUCCUCAAUCCCCUUUUUCUGAAUCCAUAUCUCUUUUCCCUUGAAUAUUUCCCAAGAUCUUAAAAAUCUGGAAUCGAAAUUCGAAACCCCAAAAUCCCAAAGCCUUAAAAUCGAUAUUCUUUGAGGACUUAUGUUUAGUUUGUUUUUAUUCGUGUGUUCUUGGCAUGAACAAAUGAUUAAGGUCAGACUCCGCCAAAAUUUGAAGAUCUGAGGGUUAUCUUCGAUUGCUCACUGUCGAUGAGCUCUAUUAGGUAAUUUUACUUCAUUUUAUGUUGUUAGUUUUUAUUUUUUAUGGAUCACUUCUCAUGUUCUUCUGACUCUCUUCAUUUUUCUCAUUGUUUUUGUUUUCUCUUUUCCAUCUCUUCAAAUCAUCCCUGUCUGCAUGAUUAGUUUCAGAUUUUUGUAGUUAGUAAUGUUUUUUGAUUUUCAGUUUGAAUAUGUUUUGAUCUUUGUUCCCAUUUGGAUCCAAGUUCCACGAGUCUUUAAGACGUUGUGUAUUAGCACUUGAUAGUUUUUGAACUUUCAAAGUCAAGAAUUUGUUCAGAAAAUUAGAAGGCCCAAAAGGGAAUUUGAUUUUGGGCUAUACGAACCCAUAAAAAUGAUUUUGGGUUGAGUUGACAAAUUAUGGCUUUUGAAGGGUAAAUUUUAGGGGUUGUAGGGGUUCUUUUGGGAACUAUAACUUAGGGAAUCUUUGGUAACUACCUAGGGAAGCUGCUAGCAAGCUGGGUAGGGGGGUGGUUUAAAUUUUUGACAACUAAAUUAAGGGUAUUUGAGCAAAAGGAAAACCCGAUCAAGGACAUUUAAGCUAAAAUAAAAAUUAGAAAAGGGGCAAGGUGCAAAUUUUAACUUUUUGAGUCUGCCCUAGCGCCUUACCUGUAAAGUCACAUCUUCCUUCUAAUGGAGGGACUGAAAAUAAAGGGAAAAUUCUGAGAAAAUAAAACGGCUGAAUAGUUCUGAAAAUUACACUGAUUUCCAGCCCUUUUCUAUGAUAAAACUGAUCAAAUUCUAGGUUAGCUGGAGGUUUCUGAUCUUUUUCCUUAGUUAAAAUCCUUGAAAGUUUCACAUCUUGCAAUCUUUGGUCGGAAAAAUGGUCUGAUUUAGGGUCUUGAAGAGAUGGUUUUGAUGUUUUGAUUUUAUAGAGGUUACUGUUUCAUUGGCUAAGUCCAGUUGGUUUUUGUUUGGUUUCCUACUUCCUGGGUGUUGACUGCUGGUUUGUUGUUGCUUAUUGUUGCCUCACUUCUUUCUUUCCUUUUCCGUUUCCAGGUAUUUGCUCCUAAAUCCUAUAUCAUGUGAAGAUUUUUUGAAGUAAGAAACAAAAUUGGGAGUUCAAACACAACUUCAAUUUACUUUGUUUAGUAGCUUAGUUUUAUUUUGUUUUAUUUACUGAGCCUUCCUGAUGCAUUAUAUUCUGCUAGAUAAUGUCAAUAUAAUACUGAAGGCCGUAUUGGGUUUUAUCUGAUGGGAGAUUAAUUUUGUAGCAAGUAUCUUGUAGUUAGAGUUGAAAUCUGAAAGUAUUCUAAAGAAAUUGGGGUAUAGCUUAUUUGGUUGCAUAUGUAGUUAGACCAUUGCUAAAUGGUAUGAAUUAUGCAUGUAUCCUCUUGCUAAGCAGUAUAUCUGAUUGUUAUAGCAUGUUCCCUUGUAGUUCAAUGGUGCCACAUUCAUGUAAUGAGUGAGUGAAUUCUUGUUAAGUAGUAACAAAUAUGAGUUGUGCUAGAAGGAAGGAAAAAUGAUCCAAGUUACCUUAAAAGGCAG